GGUUAUUUUCAUAGGAAAGCUGCUCAAAAGCCUGUCCGCCUGCCGCCCUUACACCAGAAAGAAAAAGACAAGGCUAGAAGGACACUUUGGCAGUCGAGACCCUGUGCUCUCCGUCCGAGAAGUCAGGUGACUCCUGUAGAAUUGCCCAAACUCCAGCCAGUACCACCACCUAAAAGGCAGGAUCAGAGAUCAGUGGGAGCAAGUGGUAAAUUAUCCAGCCAACCACAGCUCCAGCAAACAAAAGACAAGGCGAGUAGGACAUUUCGACAGUUGAGACCCUGUUCUCUUACCCCGGGACCUCAGGCGAC